rnacentral:rRNA from 1 species
CCUACGGGGGGCUGCAGUGGGGAAUAUUGGACAAUGGGCGAAAGCCUGAUCCAGCCAUGCCGCGUGUGUGAAGAAGGCCUUCGGGUUGUAAAGCACUUUCAGUGGGGAAGAAAGCCUUGGGGCUAAUACCCUCGAGGAAGGACAUCACCCACAGAAGAAGCACCGGCUAACUCCGUGCCAGCAGCCGCGGUAAUACGGAGGGUGCGAGCGUUAAUCGGAAUUACUGGGCGUAAAGCGCGCGUAGGCGGUCUGAUAAGCCGGUUGUGAAAGCCCCGGGCUCAACCUGGGAACGGCAUCCGGAACUGUCAGGCUAGAGUGCAGGAGAGGAAGGUAGAAUUCCCGGUGUAGCGGUGAAAUGCGUAGAGAUCGGGAGGAAUACCAGUGGCGAAGGCGGCCUUCUGGACUGACACUGACGCUGAGGUGCGAAAGCGUGGGUAGCAAACAGGAUUAGAUACCCGAGUACUC